CAGGCUGAGCCGGUUCCUCUGGAGGCCUCAGAACAGUGUAAGAGGCAACUGCAUUCAGCAGGUCUUUGGGGAAACCCUGCACCCCUCAAACAUGAGGUGCCACCUGCAGGGGCUGCCUAAUGGACACCUUAGUCACCAAGAAAAGGGAACAAGCUGGGAACCCCAGACCAUCAGAACCAAGUGUAACGUGAGUGGAGGGCGAGGCAGAGACAAGAGCUGCCCAAGCUUGCCUGCCUGCUAGGAAGAGGAAGCCCUAGCAGCUGGCGCUUCAUCAUUCUGACCAAAAAAGAAAAGAAAAGAAAAGAAAAAGCUCCUGUUACUGAUGAAGACAAAGAAACCGCUGCUUUUAAAGAUAAAAUACAGAGGAUUGAAAGCACAGCUUUGCAUUCUGCUUGUUUAGAGCUAAUGAGACAAGGAGGCAGGUGUACCUGUUAACGCCAUUCACUUGCCAGUGAAUU
rnacentral:lncRNA from 1 species